GCGCCUGUAGCUCAGCUGGAUAGAGUACCUGGCUACGAACCAGGCGGUCAGAGGUUCGAAUCCUCUCAGGCGCACCA
rnacentral:tRNA from 3 species